GAUGAACGCUGGCGGCGUGCCUAAUACAUGCAAGUCGAGCGAACGGACGAGAAGCUUGCUUCUCUGAUGUUAGCGGCGGACGGGUGAGUAACACGUGGAUAACCUACCUAUAAGACUGGGAUAACUUCGGGAAACCGGAGCUAAUACCGGAUAAUAUUUUGAACCGCAUGGUUCAAAAGUGAAAGACGGUCUUGCUGUCACUUAUAGAUGGAUCCGCGCUGCAUUAGCUAGUUGGUAAGGUAACGGCUUACCAAGGCAAUGAUGCAUAGCCGACCUGAGAGGGUGAUCGGCCACACUGGAACUGAGACACGGUCCAGACUCCUACGGGAGGCAGCAGUAGGGAAUCUUCCGCAAUGGGCGAAAGCCUGACGGAGCAACGCCGCGUGAGUGAUGAAGGUCUUCGGAUCGUAAAACUCUGUUAUUAGGGAAGAACAUAUGUGUAAGUAACUGUGCACAUCUUGACGGUACCUAAUCAGAAAGCCACGGCUAACUACGUGCCAGCAGCCGCGGUAAUACGUAGGUGGCAAGCGUUAUCCGGAAUUAUUGGGCGUAAAGCGCGCGUAGGCGGUUUUUUAAGUCUGAUGUGAAAGCCCACGGCUCAACCGUGGAGGGUCAUUGGAAACUGGAAAACUUGAGUGCAGAAGAGGAAAGUGGAAUUCCAUGUGUAGCGGUGAAAUGCGCAGAGAUAUGGAGGAACACCAGUGGCGAAGGCGACUUUCUGGUCUGUAACUGACGCUGAUGUGCGAAAGCGUGGGGAUCAAACAGGAUUAGAUACCCUGGUAGUCCACGCCGUAAACGAUGAGUGCUAAGUGUUAGGGGGUUUCCGCCCCUUAGUGCUGCAGCUAACGCAUUAAGCACUCCGCCUGGGGAGUACGACCGCAAGGUUGAAACUCAAAGGAAUUGACGGGGACCCGCACAAGCGGUGGAGCAUGUGGUUUAAUUCGAAGCAACGCGAAGAACCUUACCAAAUCUUGACAUCCUUUGACAACUCUAGAGAUAGAGCCUUCCCCUUCGGGGGACAAAGUGACAGGUGGUGCAUGGUUGUCGUCAGCUCGUGUCGUGAGAUGUUGGGUUAAGUCCCGCAACGAGCGCAACCCUUAAGCUUAGUUGCCAUCAUUAAGUUGGGCACUCUAAGUUGACUGCCGGUGACAAACCGGAGGAAGGUGGGGAUGACGUCAAAUCAUCAUGCCCCUUAUGAUUUGGGCUACACACGUGCUACAAUGGACAAUACAAAGGGCAGCGAAACCGCGAGGUCAAGCAAAUCCCAUAAAGUUGUUCUCAGUUCGGAUUGUAGUCUGCAACUCGACUACAUGAAGCUGGAAUCGCUAGUAAUCGUAGAUCAGCAUGCUACGGUGAAUACGUUCCCGGGUCU
rnacentral:rRNA from 1 species